UUCACACAAGAUGGUAGCAACAAAUUAUAGGUGCAGUCGCACCAAACUCACAGAACAAUUGAAAAUCCUCACCACUACAUUCGAUCCAAAACCUUGCUCAGGUUAUUCUACCAAACAAAACCUUGCUUUAUAAAUCAAUACAGAAGAGUCAAGAAUCCAAAUUUGGUUUCAGAAUUGAAGAGCUAGGCAUGGAUUCCAGAAAAGACCAGAACCAGAGACUUUAGAAUCAAGCCAGAGCCAUGGACAAGAUCAACCUGGUGCAGAGUUUCAAAGUAGCGAAGCCAGACAGUGUUGUACCACCUACGGCGCCUCUCAAUUAUGCACUCUCAUCAAGGCAUUUUUGAAAAACCCAUACCUUAGGAUUGAUUCCAGGAAACAACUUGCUAAAGAAAUUAGUGUUCCAGAGUCAAGAGUCCAAAUUUGGUUCCAAAAUCAAAGAUCUGGAUUUCAUCUCCAGAGAAAAAGGGAAGCUGUUGUGUCCUUAGAACAAGAAGACCAGGGGCAAGAUUUCUGAGAGACUUUCAAGGUACAGAAGAUACACAGAAUGGCACCGCCCUCACUAGCAACUCUCAUUUCUCUAGAGCCAGAA
rnacentral:lncRNA from 1 species